AAAAUGAAGUAGAAUAGAAAUGGUCCAGAGCACAGACUUGUUGGGGGUCAAAGCAUUCUUCUGAACUGACCAAUGGAGUGAUUGCCACCAAAAGUCAUUUACAUAAAUGCAAGGUUCUGGGGUCUCAGAAAGGUGAGGGGCAAAAGGAAGCAAAGAGCAAAUUAGAGUUUCCAGCCUUGGAUUUGAAUGGAUUCGAAGCUCACAUAAGGAGGCUAAAAUAAGCACAUAAUGUGCAAAUGAUAGUGCUGCUGAGCAUGGAAGGUUCAGGACUGCAAGGUAGGCCACUUGACAGCAACAUGAAGAGUUAUGAUCGUGAGGUAUUUUUAUUUGUUUAAUUCAAGAGGAAAGGAGAGUCCUUUUCACUUUGGAUAACCAAUUCCUGAAUGUGUGUUUCCACCAAUUUGGGGACAGAAUUUUCAUCUGUGAUCCUUCCCUAUUUUAGCAACUAUUUUGACAUUUUCUUCUGAAAUGGCAGCUUGUGACAAGUACUUUCUCCUCAUGUAUGGCUCACCCUCAAGCCUAGGACUACCCUCAGAGAAGUCUUUUCAUUCUGCAGGACAUGUACCUAUUAUUUCUGCCGUCCAUGUGAUUUAGGCUUAGGGUGACCAAAGAGAAUGAUCAUAAAUGACAGAGCACUUAUUGUCUAGAUUUAAGGUCUCUUCAGGUCUAAUCCUAUAAUUCCAGAGUUAUUUAUUCACUGUAUACUUACAGGUCCUGGAGAUUUGCCUGACUUAUGAUGGAUUUUUUUAUGCCAGUAGUCUCUCUGCCUCUUCAUGCAUGCGUAGUGUUUCAAUAUUAACUUCAAUCAAUUUAUCUAUUAUUCUCCAAUUUUGAGUGGAACUUCAAUCUUUAUGCUUUCCUACCACUGUAGGCACCAUUUUUCACUUUAUGGAACAUUGUGAUAAUGCUAUAGAUAAUAUUUAUAAAUAUCUUAAAAUUAUAAAAUCACUAAUAUCACAGGGUUUUUCUUUUUAUGAAAAUACUGACAAAAUGAAUUAUAACUUACCUUCGACUUUAAUGAAGAUUUUUAAAGCUACUUUGGUUAAAAUUAAAAUAAAAAGAUAUGGUUCAUUUGAAAACCAAAAAGAUUCAUUGUCAAGAGCCCAGAGGCUCAGAACAUUCACAGAACAUAUGUAUAUUGACUUGAGAAGAAGAACUUAUAGUAUCAACUUUAAAUUUUAAAGUUUAAAGUAACUUUACAAUUGGCUUUAAUAUAUUUAUAUAAAGUAUUUAGCCCCUUUCACACUGUCUUGUGACUCCUCCAUCUCUCCUGAAACCUUUGUACCCAGAAAGUCAACGUUUAUGUUGUUUGACAUUUAUACAAAAAAAAUGACAAAAACCUGAGCUCAGAGUUUAAUUAGCAAAGUUGAGAUGGAGUAUGGUGGUCUUCAAAAUGAUUUAAUAUAUGUUGUGAGUUCUUGCAUUUUCACAUAAGUAACUUUUAAAUGAACACAUAAAAUUAUGUAGAGUUUACCCAUGAUCACAAGCUACACUAGAAACCGGAGCAAAUCAGAGUGUUUCAAUAAUGACAUGAACACACCCUGAAAGCCGUUAGGAACGUGUGAUACAGCUGUUCUUUACCUUCCCUGGAGAAGAUGAACAGAAUGUGCGUGGCUGUACCUUCUGUUUUGAAUGUGGUCUUUUCAUAUCUCUUUUUUCAAGUCGAUCUUCUAAGGUCAUUUUAGAAAGUACUAUAAACAUGUCCACAUGUUCUGUCAGUGAGAAGAGUAGAGUCUGCUAGGAGUCCCUCAUUUUUACCUGGUUAAAAUAGCCCGUGGGAAAGUGUAAUCUUUUCAAACAACCCAAUAGUUGUGUUUCUCCUUAUUCAUGCAACGAAUGGGAAAACUAUGCCUGUAGAGAAGCUUAUAUCAGUUUUAUUCAUAAUCUCUAAAAACUGGUACUAACCAAGAUGCCCUUCAAUAAAUAUGCAAACAAGCUUUACUACAACAAUAGGAUGUUAUUCAACAAUGAAAACGAAAUGGACCAUAUAACCAUGAAAUUUUAAAUGUGGACUAUUAGGUAAAAACAAUCACUCUGACUAAACUAUAUACAUAUACCAAAUAUUGAGUGGUUCCAUUUAUAUAACAUUUGAUAUCAUAUUGAGUUGAACAAACGAUAUAUGAAAGAGGCCUAUAAAUAUAAAUAGCCAGUGGUUGGCCAUCUUGAGGAGAGUAUGUCAAACAUGUAAAAGUGAAAGCACGGUACAUUUUUUGUAAGCUGCUCAAAUUAUUCUUUAUGAUAGUGCAUGCAAUGGUGCAUGCAUAACAAAAAUGUAUUUUUCAAAAGUGGGAAUUUACCACCAAUUAUUGAACUUUCAUAGGUAC
rnacentral:lncRNA from 1 species